ensembl:lncRNA
AUGGAGGGAUUCAUGUUGACUAUCCUUAACGUUACUUUUAGAUUAUUUUAUUUUCCUUACCAAAUCGUUGGUGCUAGCGUUGUCCGUGGAAACAAUUCAAAUAUCAAGUUCGCAGAGGUCAAACGUUUCAUUCAACUUGUAGUGAAUGUUACCGUCUUCGACCUUGUGACAACAACAACUGGAGUGCACUGCCUAACUUCCCGAACAGACCACAGAGGAAAACUCAGCUGCAGAGGGGAGAUGCUGUUGAUGCUGGUGUCCCUGCUCUGCUGUGUCACUGCAGCCAGGGCCUGUCUGCAGUGCGACCGCAGCAUCCGAAUGAUGCACGAGGACUUCAUCUUGUCUGCUCCCACUCUGCAAGACCAGCUCAACUUGCAAAGUAUUCGUGACCAAGCCUAUGUGACCUACAUAGAGACCAGUCAGGAACGAAAGGGGCUCAUUGAUCCCACUACUCUAUACAGAGCUAAAACUGAAUACCAGAGUGAAUUUGAUCGCUUCUUGAAAACCAAGCUCACUGGAUCUGUAACAUUUGAAGCUAUUCAGAUCAUGGAGAAAGGCAGGAAGAUUUUAGAGAAACAUCUGGAUGCCUUCAUCCCCAGUGAAUUAUGCCCCAACAUAUGUGGGCUUCUAAUUAGAAGAGUAAUGGAUUGCGUCUCUUGCCGCUACAAAGUAUACAUCUGUCCCUCUCCGACUGGCCAACAGGACUGUGGUGAGUAUCCAGUGCAGGCUGAGGAAGGAGGCCAGGCUUUGUUGAAUUGUUUUCUUCCAUGGCACCGUCUUCUAUUGGGUAGACCAGAGUACCACUACUCCUGGGUGCCAGGAGCAUCAGAUAUUGAUAAGAUGAAUGAAAGUGACUUCAGUGUCUUGAUAGUGACAGAAGACUCGUCUAUUGUCUUGAAUCAACUGCGUUUGGAUGAAGAAGGAACAUACCGCUGCUCCCUGCAAGCCCAAAAUGGAACCAUCUUCUAUCAAGCCACUUUCCCACUCACUGUCAUACCGUCUCCUCACCAGACUCACUGGCCUUUAGUCACUCUGCCCUCCCUGCCUCAUGGAGACAGCUACUCACCUUUUCAGCCUACGGGGGCCUUGCUCGUGCCACUCAUCACUGUGGUUACGGCUUUGACUCUGACAGCAAGCGUAGGACUCGCAGUUGUCCUGAGAGUGAUGAUGAAUCAGCAGAGAACAGCAACAGAACUGAGAAGAAGGAGGAAGGAGGAAAACGGGACAGAAAACAUGACGUGAUAACUAAACUCAGCUCUGUCAUGAUCUCAACGCCAGUCCUCGACGUCCGUCACGUAUCAUUUAGCUGCUUCUGCCUUCUUGUCUUGUUGUGCGCAUCUGAGGGGAUGUUGGUGUGAAACCAAAUUUCCUGUGAAAAGGCGCUAAGGAAUCAUCAACAACAGCAGCAAAUUCACACCUGUCUUUUGCCAUUGUGUCACAUGAGGUCAUGAUUGGUAACAAAGAAAAGCAAAUGAAAGGUUUAAAAAUGAAAGCAAUCAGUUGAUAUUGGAUGAGUCACUGCCACUUGGAAGUCACCGGUGAAUUAUUGCUCAGGUUUUCAGGGUAAUUCCUGAUGAGAGUAUUUUAAUCACUGAAAGCCGGCUUGGGUUAUGAGCAAAGGCAAAUGAAACAAAGGUCGCAACAGUGUGAGGGGGUGUGUGCGCAGAGGCUGAAAAAGAGAGAGGCUGUGGUCUGUCUGGAUAGUGACAGGAUGUAUGUGUGGUGCUGUUUCCUGUCUGGCUCACUGACAUGGGGGCGAAAGCCGAAAAAAAAUCUUUAAGACACCCUCACACAGAGAUAGUGGCGUCACAAUCUUACAACUACGUGGGUUUAUAUGUGUGUGUGUUUUAAACUAAUAUGCAGGCUGAGGCUACUGUAAAUGCAUGCUCAGCGACUUCACUGACAGCCAUGAUGAAGUGUGCAGUUUGAGUGUUUGUGUGCACAUACUGCUGUGGACUGAAAUUGCAGCCUCAGCAGGGAGAGGGAAUGACAAAGUGUGAGCACUGCUGGAGGAGCAGCAGGCAGCCACAGGGGAGGGCGAAGAGGGAAGUGGGAACAAGAAGAAAGUGGAGUCAGAGGUUUGAGUGGGAGAGAUCUGUGGGAAGGCAGUCUGAUUUUUAAUGUGGGUUAUGAGGAAACGAGGACAAAGACGUCAGAUUACGCCUCGUGAUAAAAACCGUCCCACACUACACAUAGAGUAUACUUUCACAUGAGUGACCUAUAGUGGUGGAAUGACCUCAAGAUUGCUGUCUUCACUGCCAUAACAACUUUUAUUGAAAAAUAAUUCAAUAAAAGCAUCAGAAAAUACUCCUGAGAUCCAUUAAAGCACCUAAAACUUGGCUUUAGUGCUCAGGUGUUUAUCAGUAGUUAAAUAUUCACAACUGAAUAUUUAAAAUCCUAUGAGUAAUUACUAGCUAUUGUUUGUUAUGAGGUUAAUGUGUUUGCAUAGUGUGAUCAGAUCUGACCAAAAGUGGCUAACACAUUCACUUGUCAUCAUAUUUACGUGUAGAUAUUAACAGAAUUAUGCUCAUGUACUUCAGACUGCUGAGAUAAUGACAAAUACAGAGAUCACUAACACAAAAUCCAGAGUUCAUUUAGGUCCCCCCCCCCAACACUCAAUGUGGAGGAGGCUUUGAAGUCACCAAAAAGUCACCAACAUGGUAACUUAACUGUAACCAUUAACCAUGAAUACCAUCGGUCUGCUGCUCAGUCCCCCAAACAAAGAGUUUGUACUGUGUGAUAUUUGAAAUUUAAUUUUAAAAGGGAAAUAAAUUGUUUUAUAUUUAAAAUUGAGAGGUGGCACUUUUUUUUUCUAUAUUAGCCUGAAAGGCUUCUGCUAAGACUUCCAUCUAAUUUAUGACUUCUCUUGUUGAUCACAAUGCUUUUAAGUUACUGUAAGUCUGACAAUAUGUCAUUUUUUAAAGAUACAGUACUGUGCAAAAGUCAUGAAUUAUCUCUCAUCUCUUCAUGAUUUGUUAGAAAAAUUAGGAAUGGGUUAUUGAAACGUGCAAACAUAAAUCAAAUAAAUGGACUGUUUUUUAUGUAGUGCCUUUCAUUCAUCCAUUCACACACACACACUCAUACAGCAUUUUAUCUAUACCUAAGCGCUUUCUAACAUUCACACAUUCACACUCAUACUUCAUCAUGUGGACUGGAGGAGUCUGAGAUCAAUCCCCCGACCCUCCGGCUGGUAGAGAACCCCCUCUAACCGCCAGGACACAAGGAGGAAAAUUUUGGCUUAAAAAUGGUAAAAUCUAUAUCCUUUAUCUUAUACAU